GUCAAGCUACAAAGAGCACAAGGGGAAUGCCUUGGCACCAAGAGCCGAUGAAGGACGUGACAAACUGCGAUAAGCCACGGUGAGCCGUAAGUAGGCGCUAUACCCGUGGAUUUCCGAAUGGAGCAAUCCGGCCGAAGGAGUUCGGUCAUCGUAUACUGAAUAAAAUAGGUAUACGAAGGGAACCGCCUGAACUGAAACAUCUAAGUAGGGCGAGGAAGAGAAAUCAACAGAGAUUCCGUAAGUAGUGGCGAGCGAACGCGGAAGAGGCCAAACCGAAUGUAGAAAUACAAUCGGGGUUCGGACAGCAACGUGUACUCUAAGACUUAGCAGAAUGGCAUGGGAAGGCCAAUCAGAGAAGGUGAGAAUCCUGUAUGCGAAAAGUCGAGGAGGCUAGCUGGAUCCAGAGUACCGCCGGACACGUGAAACCCGGUGGGAAGACGGGGGGACCAUCCUCCAAGCCUAAAUACUACUUGGUGACCGAUAGCGAAUAGUACUGUGAAGGAAAGGUGAAAAGAACCCCGGGAGGGGAGUGAAAAAGAACCUGAAACCUUGUGUUUACAAGCACCGAAAGCACAUCAACGUGCGAUCGGGUACCUUUUGUAGAAUGGUCCGGCGAGUGUGUGUAACUGGCGAGGUUAAUCACUUAAGGUGAGGAGCCGUAGCGAGAGCGAGUCUGAAUAGGGCGCAUGAAGUCAGUUGUACACGACCCGAAACCGGGUGACCUACCCAUGUCCAGGUUGAAGUGGAGGUAAAACUCCAUGGAGGACCGAACCGACUCCCGUUGAAAUGGUAGCGGAUGAGGUGUGGGUAGCGGAGAAAUUCCAAUCGAACCCGGAGAUAGCUGGUUCUCUCCGAAAUAGCUUUAGGGCUAGCCUUGAAAUAGAUUAUCGGAGGUAAAGCACUGUAUUGGCUAGGGGCCGAGAGGUUACUGAACCUUAACAAACUAAGAAUGCCGAAUAAUCGUUUUUCAGGAGUCAGACAGUGGGAGAUAAGUUUCAUUGUCAAAAGGGAAACAGCCCAGACCCACAGCUAAGGUCCCAAAGAGUAGUUAAGUGGAAAAGGAUGUGGAGUUGCAUAGACAACCAGGAUGUUGGCUUAGAAGCAGCCACUCAUUAAAAGAGUGCGUAAUAGCUCACUGGUCGAGUGACUCUGCGCCGAAAAUUUAACGGGGCUAAACUACACACCGAAGCUUGGGAAGUCGUUAAGACUUGGUAGGAGAGCGUUCUGUAAGGGGUGAAGUCGCAGCGAAAGCGGCGGUGGACUUUACAGAAGUGAGAAUGCCGGAAUGAGUAGCGAGAAAUAUGUGAGAAUCAUAUUGGCCGAAAGUCUGAGGUUUUUGGAGGAAGGUUCGUCCGCUCCAAGUAAGUCGGGAGCUAAGGCGAGGCCGAAAGGCGUAGUCGAUGCACAUACGGUUGAUAUUCCGUAACCACCUGCAAUUUAAGCAAAGGGACACCUUGAAAGCGCAUAUCCCCGGAGUUGGUAUUCCGAGGCGUAAGGGAGGACAAUAGUCCGAAGUAUGUGUGGACGAGGGCGAGAAAAGCUUUGUGUAUAGAGCCGGUGCCCGUACCGCAAACCGACACAGGUAGACAGGAAGAGAAUUCUAAGGCCAACGGGAGAAGGGUAGUUAAGGAACUCGGCAAAUUGACUCCGUAACUUAGGGAAAAGGAGUGCUCAGUGAAAGCUGAGCCGCAGUGAAUAGGCCCAGGCGACUGUUUAGCAAAAACACAGGUCUCUGCCAAAUCGAAAGAUGAAGUAUAGGGGCUGACACCUGCCCGGUGCCGGAAGGUUAAGAGGAGGAGUGCAAGCUCUGAAUUGAAGCCCCGGUAAACGGCGGCCGUAACUAUAACGGUCCUAAGGUAGCGAAAUUCCUUGUCGGGUAAGUUCCGACCCGCACGAAUGGUGUAACGAUCUGGGCACUGUCUCAACUACCCGCCCGGCGAAAUUGUAGUACCGGUGAAGAUGCCGGUUACCUGCGACAAGACGGAAAGACCCCAUGGAGCUUUACUGCAGCUUGAUAUUGGGUUUCGGUAAUCUAUGUACAGGAUAGGUGGGAGACUGGGAAACAGAGGCGCCAGCCUUUGCGGAGUCGACGUUGGGAUACCACUCUUAGAUUGCUGGAAUUCUAACCUGCGGCCGUGAAACCGGUCGGGGGACAUUGUCAGGCGGGCAGUUUGACUGGGGCGGUCGCCUCCGAAAAGGUAACGGAGGCGCUCAAAGGUUAGCUCAGCACGGACGGAAACCGUGCCCUAGAGUGUAAACGCGUAAGCUAGCCUAACUGCGAGGAUGACGGUCCGAGCAGUAACGAAAGUUGGAGUUAGUGAUCCGGCGGUAUGUGAAUGGAAAUGCCGUCGCUCAACGGAUAAAAGCUACCCUGGGGAUAACAGGCUGAUCUCCCCCAAGAGUCCACAUCGACGGGGAGGUUUGGCACCUCGAUGUCGGCUCAUCACAUCCUGGGGCUGAAUUCGGUCCCAAGGGUUCGGCUGUUCGCCGAUUAAAGUGGUACGCGAGCUGGGUUCAGAACGUCGCGAGACAGUUCGGUCCCUAUCUGUCGUGGGCGCAGGAUAUUUGAGGAGCUCUGUCCUUAGUACGAGAGGACCGGGAUGGACGUACCUCUGGUGCACCAGUUGUCACGCCAGUGGCACAGCUGGGCAGCUAUGUACGGAACGGAUAAACGCUGAAAGCAUCUAAGCGUGAAGCCGGCUCCAAGAUUAGAUAUCCCACCGAGAAAUCGGGUAAGACCCCUUGUAGACUACGAGGUUGAUAGGCUGCGUGUGUAAGUGCCGUGAGGCAUUCAGCUUGGCAGUACUAAUAGGUCGAGGGCUUGACC
rnacentral:rRNA from 1 species